rnacentral:rRNA from 1 species
UGGGGAAUAUUGCACAAUGGGCGCAAGCCUGAUGCAGCCAUGCCGCGUGUAUGAAGAAGGCCUUCGGGUUGUAAAGUACUUUCAGCGGGGAGGAAGGGAGUAAAGUUAAUACCUUUGCUCAUUGACGUUACCCGCAGAAGAAGCACCGGCUAACUCCGUGCCAGCAGCCGCGGUAAUACGGAGGGUGCAAGCGUUAAUCGGAAUUACUGGGCGUAAAGCGCCCGCAGGCGGUUUGUUAAGUCAGAUGUGAAAUCCCCGGGCUCAACCUGGGAACUGCAUCUGAUACUGGCAAGCUUGAGUCUCGUAGAGGGGGGUAGAAUUCCAGGUGUAGCGGUGAAAUGCGUAGAGAUCUGGAGGAAUACCGGUGGCGAAGGCGGCCCCCUGGACGAAGACUGACGCUCAGGUGCGAAAGCGUGGGGAGCAAACAGG